rnacentral:rRNA from 1 species
UCUGCUGAGAGCGGCGGAUGGGUAGUCACGCUAGGAAUUACCCAGUAGUCGGGGGAAAAGUUUGAUACGACUGUAACCCGCAUACGCCCUACGGGGGAGUGGGGCUCCGGCUCUCGCUAUCGGAUGAGCCUGCGUGAGACCAGCUUGUUGGUGGGGUAAUGGCCCCCAAGGCAACGAUCUCUAGCUGGUUGAGAGGAUGAUCAGCCACACUGGGAUGAGACACGGCCCAGACUCUACGGGAGGCAGCAGUGGGGAAUAUUGGACAAUGGGCGAAAGCCUGAUCCAGCCACGCCGCGUGUGUGAAGAAGGCCUUCGGGUCGUAAAGCACUUUCAGCAGUGAGGAACGCUUGAUGGUUAAUACCCAUCAAGUUUGACGUUAACCGCAGAAGAAGCACCGGCUAACUCCGUGCCAGCAGCCGCGGUAAUACGGAGGGUGCAAGCGUUAAUCGGAAUUUACUGGGCGUAAAGCGCGCGUAGGUUUGCUUUGUUAAGCGAGAUGUGAAAGCCCCGGGCUUUAACCUGGGAACUGCAUUUUCGAACUGGCAGGCUAGAGUACAGUAGAGGGUGGCGGAAUUCUCCUGUGUAGCGGUGAAAUGCGUAGAGAUGGGAAGGAACAUCAGUGGCGAAGGCGGCCACCUGGACUGAUACUGACACUGAGGUGCGAAAGCGUGGGGAGCA